UGCCUUAACCUCCCAAAGUGCUGGCAUUCCUGGUGUGAGCCAUUGCACCCAGCCAACUCAACAGUUUUUUAACUGUAAGCAUAAAACAUAUUUGAUUUAUGCCUGUCUCCCUCUAUACGUCUCUCUCUUUCUAUCUUUUGGGAGAUAAAGAAUCCCAAGGUGGGGUGGGAUGGAGGAAGGUGCAUGUUGGGCAAGGGAUGGAAUACCAUCUCCUUGUGGCCAUGGAGGCUCUGGCCCCAGCUCCCUUUGCCCUUUCAUCCUUUCAGAGGGUCCUGUUAGACUUCAUUCUUUUGAGUCAGACUGGGGCCUGGGGAAGCGGUGACAGAGGGUGAGUGCUCCAGAAGUGCAAAUGAAGGGCUCAUCCUUGUCCUUUUGGUCAGACACAAGCACAGGCUUGCUGUUGAACUGAGAGUUCAAGAUCAGAUUAAUAUGCCCUUGGCUGUAGAAAACAUGUUUUUCAGGCAGACAGUGAGUUUCCAGAGCACCAAAUGCAUCCUCUGGUACAGAUGGCCCCUUUUUUCUGCUUCACUGGAAUAUUCCAUUGGUUUGCCCAGGCAUUGUUUACAUGCAUUUCUUGGGACAUGUCUUCUUAGCUAAAGUUAGAUGUGAUGUGUCUGUGUGCCUUAAGAAGCUAGGCUGGUUCACAAUUUGAUGGUUAACAUGAAGGCAAAGACAAGUAAACGGCAUGGUUGCAGUGAGGAUUCAGACACUAGCUGUUCCUUCAGUAUUCCAAAUAGAAACUGACUUCCUUCUGGUCUUUGGUCCAGGAUGAGAAAGUCACUUUUUUUUUUUUUUAAUGGGGCUGCUAGACUUCCCAGAGAGUCAUUAACAAAACAAAAACCAAGGCAGUCUCAAAGAGUAUGGAUUCCAUUUGGAGGGCUUUCAAAUGGCAUACGGGAGCAUCUGAAUAAAAUAAACAGAUUUAAGGCACAAGCUUAUUACUUCAUCGGGACUGGAAGGAAACUGGUUCAAGGCUACCUUUGAACUAAAGCUCUUUAGCUCAAUUUCAAAACCAUUCAGCAAUUCCUACGUCAGUUAAACAUUCAAAACCAGAAAGUUUGGAGUUUAGUUCAUUUUAAAAAGACAAAAACAAAAUCUAGAUCCAGCUUCAGAUUCCUGUAAGUAAAGGCGUUCAUUGCCUCAUCUCUAUGGGAAUGAGUGUUGAGUCUAGUUAAUCAGCAAAUAUUCACUGACUUAGGCACCAUGCUGCAUGUUAUUAGGUUUUUCAGAGAUGAUAACACACAUCCCUAGAGGAGAUAGACAUGCAAAGUACUACAUGUGAUGCAAGGUGUUGAGUGCCACCGUGGAGACAAGGGAGUGAGUUCAAAGUGCUCAGAGACAGCAGGUUGGGUGGUCCUCUAAGAAGAGAUCACAGGAGCUGGUCCUCUGUAAAUGCAGAAGAUGUCUCCUGGCUAAAAUGGAAAAAGUGAGAAUCUAGGCAUAAAUAAACAUUUGCCAAAAGCCAUUGAAAAUAUGGCUAUGUUUCAGAAAGGAAACAGCCGAAAAAUGGAAUGACAGGAGAUGUGACUGGUCUGAUAGGUCAGGGUGGGGUGGGACAUGAAGAACCUUCCAUGCCUAGGUGAGGGGAGCAGAAUUUAUCUUGAGCACAACAAGGAUCCACAAAUUUUGACCAAAGGAGCCUGAUGGUCAGUUUUGCAUUUUAAAAGAUUUACCCUGUCAAGUGCGUUUUGGGCACAGAUUAGAAUGGGGAAGAAUCUAAGAGGAAAAAGGCCAGUUCAGGUGUGAGAGCCAUGAUUCAAGAGGAGGGCCCAUCCCUGAAGCCCACAUCCUCAUUUCACUCUUUAAUUAGAAAUUGGUAGAUAUAUAAGAGGCCAGGACGUGUGGGUUCCAGGAAGACCCACCCCGGAGAGACUGGGCAGCUCAGUACAGAGAAUACAGAGUAGAAAUUAGGAGAAGGGUGGUGCCAGUCCUCUUUCUGCAUCCCGUUUGUUCUAUGCCCUGCAGUUAUAGCUCCUUAGCCCGCUGCCCAUUUAUGUGGAGAUUGGCUGUGGGAGGAGGCAGUUUGGCAUGGCAGAAAUUGCGUGGACUUUGGAAUCGAGCACUCCCAGAUUUUAAUCUUCGGCCCCAAGUUUAAUAAGUAGGUGCUAUUGGGUAACACGUUUCAGUUCCCUGAAGUUCAGUUUCCCCACUUGUAAAAUGAGGAUAACCAUGUCUAUUCCAUAGGGCAGCAGUGAGGAUUACAGAAAAUUCAGUUGGCAGUGUAACCAAACUGGAUUCAGGAUAGGCAGUUCUGAAUUCACCUGUGGUCCCCCUUGGAGUAAUAGUGACAGAUUCCCUCAAGUUAGGCAUAUGCCUUCCCCUGCCCCUUGGAAACAUCAAACUCAAUAGCAUAAGGAAACAGGUGGUGGCUUUAGAAGGUAGUAUGUUUGGUGUCAGUCUCCAUGGAUACUUGAAAGAGAGGCUCAAAGGAGUACAGUGAUAUUAAAGUAAUUAAGCUGCAUUUAACGAGCACUUACAAUGGGCCAAGUGCUCUACAGUGGUGUCUUGGGGCCUCCUGGACCAGGUAUCUCCUGUUCCUGCCCUCGUUCCUGUUGUAGGUUUUAGCCUACAACAAAUUUUAGGCUCUCUUGUCUCAUUUCUGGACCUUAAAACACUCUCUUUGUGAUUUACUGGUUGAAAGUGGAUUUAAUAUGUGUGAAAAUCAGGAAAUGGCCGAAAAGGCGAUGCUUGGGAAACUGUGCAUUGCUAUGGAUGUUAAUUUUCAUUUGAAUAUGAGCUGCCAUGGAUCUAGACUUCUGAAUAAGCUUCGUUGAUGAUAAAGGGUCAUUGUGGAGUAUCAGCUGGGCUAUUUACAUUAGAAAAUUCAUCCCAAAAUAGUCUUUUCUUAAACCACAGAGGAGAGCUCAUGAAAAGGAAAUGGCAUCUUAGAAGUUUAAAUAGGCUUGCUUCCAGGAAAAGUAUUAAGAAUCUGGUCAGUAUUGGUAGUUUACACAAACACGUUUUUUUUGUUUUUUUUUUUUUUCUGAUUCUUUUUUCUUUGUCCUCCUCCUCUCUCUGUACACCCUUAAGAAAAACUAGGUGGUGAAGUGGGGCAGGAAAUGGUUUCAAUCAGAUCACUCUCUUUUCCUGCAGUAAAUAGGGGGUUUCCCCACAAUGGUUGGUUUUCAAACGUUUUUUAGAUUCCCUGUUUAUCUACCCUAACCAUUGCCUUUUGCCAGUGCUGUGUCUCUGAAGUAAUGGAAGUGCUUUGAUUCUGAUGGGAUACCAAUGAGUUGAUAAAUAAGAAGCCCCCCACCACCACCACCAAACAGAAAGUGUGGAAUUUAUUUCAUAAAUAUCCAUUCAUUAAAUAAGCAUUGAGGGCCUACUGUGUACCAAGCAUUGUGACAGUCCCUAGGGAUGCAAAGAUGAGCUAGGCAUGCAUUCUGCCAGGAAGUGGGUAGCCUACUAGGAAGCCAUAGAUUAUGAUAUAUGAACUUGAUGUGUUAGUGAUUAGUGCUUAGGUCCUGAAAAGGGACAGAUGCAGUGUGGGGGAAGUCCAGAUUACUGCUAAGUUUUUUGAGGUGAAGGAAGGUAGAAGUGUUGGUCAUGACUGGCUUCCCAAAGAGGUAGCAUCUAGACAUGGAAGAUAUAAAGAACAUUCCAGAUGAAGGAAAGAGUAUAGCAAGGGCAUGGCAGUUGAAUGCCUCAGUACACUUAAGGGGUAAAACAAUUACAGUGGAAUUACAUUAUGCAUAUGUUAAAAUCACACAUAUGAUCCAAGUAGCAAGAGGAGAAAAAUUAAGAGUGCAGGCUGGCUUGGUGUGGUGGC